CUACCUGCAGGUUUUGUUUUCUAAUAAAGAAGAGAAACCAGAAAACAGAAAAGGCAAGCAGGCAAGUAAUGGCACCGUAUCUGUUGUUGAGCUGGUCCAGAUUGGAUUUAUCUCCCUUUUGUGGUUGGCACAGCUUUGUGUGGUUGGGUGUAUGUGAAUGGCUAGAUUCAUGUCAUAGUAGUUACAGAAAAUGACAGCAUCUGUAGGCCACUCUGGGGUUGAUGGAAGAGAAGGCUGCUCAAGGUGAGAUGAUGGCGUUAGGGCUCUGGUCACUCAGUCCCCACCAGGCUGCCCUAAAGGCCAAGGGGAUCCAUAUCCCCUGUUCACUUUGCAGUUUGCCGCUGCACAGGGGGCACUGCUGGGAAGCUCUCCCCUUAGCUCGCAGACCUCCCCAGGAGAUGUGAUGAGCUUCUGGCCCCCUGAAGAGCUGCUAAAGGCAUGAGCUGACCUAAAGGGGAGAAGACAUUCUCCCUAUCUCUUCAUCAAAUUCCGUGAUGUUUGAGCAGCUUAAAGACCAGAACAUUUGGUGGCAUCUGCAGCUGGGAUCUUGGAUGUAGAUACUGUCAUUUCGCAGUGACGUCCAUGUGUGAAGAAAAAGAACAGAACAGACUGUGUGGUGACGGAGGCUGACAGACUGGUUUGUAAGAAACCGUGAGUGAGAAAUUGUGACUUAUAAGAAAUAGAUCUUUGGCCAUUCAGAUGACUAAAAUGGAUUGUUCGUGUAUGUUUUGGGCUUUGUCCAAGGUUCCUGGCUCAUGUUUGUCAAAACCCUUGGGACUUCCUGGUCAUUAAGAGCCAUGGGAGCAUCUUUGGUCACCACAUUGGUCUUAUGUCAUCAGUUCCUAAAAUUGCUUCCUAAUCAUAAGUGUGAAGUGGAUGCCUGUUUAUUCAUAACAAGCCCCUUUCCACAGCACCCGAGUUUGUGUUAAUGAGGUGCCUUUUGUGAGUGCUGAGCCUGGAGGCUGGCUGCCAAGGGAACCAAGGGAGAGGGCAGGACCUGGAGACUGAGCUCAGCCACCAAUGGCUAAUGCCGUCAUCCGUCAUGACUAUGUAACAAAGCCUCCAUAAAACCUGUAAAAGAUGGGGUCCAGGGAGCGCCUGGGUUGAUGAACACAUAGGGAUGGGGGAGGAGGGUGUGCUUGGAGAGAACGUGGGUGCUCCAAGCAGUUCCUUUUCCCUCGUCCUAUGCAUCUCUUCCACCUGGCUGUUCCCGAGCUGUGCCCUUCAUCAUCCAUUGAUCAGCUGGUGAGUCCAUGGAUUUCCUGAGUUGUGUGAGCCCCUCCAACUGAAUCAGGCCCAAGGACGGGGUCAUGGGAACCUCUGAUUUAUGCCCAGUCCGUCAGAAGGACAGGUAUCAGCCAGGGUGUAUGAGCCGUUUACCUGUGGCAUCUGACGCUACCUCAGGGUAGAGAGUGUCUGAAUUGAGCUGAACUGCAAGCCCCCAGCCAGUGUUCAAGAAUUGCUUCUUGAUGGUAUAAGGGUGGAAACACCUCCCCUGUUGGAAACUGGUGACUAGAGCCCCUUUAACGAGGCUCCCCUUGGGGGGAUACCCAGCACAAAUUGUGGGGUACUUAGGCAGAGUUAUUGGAGGAAACUUUUAACCCAAGAAAGAGCUGAGUCCCAAGAAAAUCACUUCCCAAGGAGCUGAGAGGAUUCAACAAGAUAAGUCUUGUGAAGCUGGCCCACACUACGUGCUCCCUAAGUAUGUCUUGGCUCUUCUAUUAAACCCCUGUCUGCAAACAGAAAGUAACUCAAAUGCACUUAAACUGACCAAAAAUGAUGUGCUUGUGUGUGUGUGGAAGGUGGAAUGUGGUUGGUGCACUGUUUAGUGUAAGAAAAUAGUGUUGUCUCGCGAGGCCUGAGGACCAGAAUAUACCUGACCCUUAGGAGGUGCUGGAAGCUGGACCUGAAAACCAUUCAGAACUCAGGCAACCUCGGUAAGUGAAUUUCUCUAUGGACCCCUUGAUAGUGAAAAUGGCACAGCGUGACCCCUGGGCUCGCCUUCCCUCCAGCCCCAGUGUGAGAAUUUCUUCAUGCAGACCAUCCGGCAGAAGAGCAUCUGAUGGGCCUAAUGUGGGUGAUGUGUCCAAACAUUCUUUGAGAAACCUUUGGCCUGGAGUGUGGGACCCCAGAGCAGGAGCAUGGACCCUUGGUGCCCCUCCUGCAACCAAGAGGGAUGAGAGAAGAAAUUAAAACUAUUAGAACCCCCGUGAACUGCAUUUUGGAGAAGACGUUAACUUAAAAUCAAGUCACACAAGAGGAGAUGAAGGUUCUCAGUUCUUUAACUUGGAAGGUCAAGCUUCUGCUAUCAUCCUAAACGCUCCUCUUGGGAGGGAAACAGUGCUUUCAUAUCGAAUGGAAAGAGUUUCGCUGGGGAGCAACCCUCUGGCCUCGGUAACCAGUCUUCCUGGAAAAAUACCAGACUACACAGGAAAAUCCAAUCCUGAAUUCCCAGCUUGUAAGUCAUUUUGUUUCUCCUCUUUGAAUUCUCCAAUUUCCUUCAAGUAUACCACUGAUUUUUAUCUUCCCUCUUCCCAAGCCCUAAAAUCCUGCAGUGAAUGGUAAUAAUAACAAUAAAUACCUCCGAUUACACCAUGGUAAACUCUUGGCAUACGCUGUCCCAUUCAGUUCUCGUAUUAACUCUAUCAUGUAGGGAUGAACGUUAUUCAUAUUUUACCUGCACUCCUGAGGUUCGGGGAAGUUAAUUAUCCAAAGACAGAUUGCUGGUAGAUGGUGAAACCAGAACUUAAGCUCAUUUCUGAAUCCCAAGAUAAUGCCUUUAAUCUCUGUGCCUGACCAUGCGUGGGACUUUCCUUCCUUUAACCUUCCCUCUCACUUGGCCGGUUUUGAUGGUGUUUUUGGUGAUAUUCACUAAAGCAUCUUGCUUUUGUCGGUUAGUCUAGGAUUACAUCUAAUUCACUUUAACGCAAGGCUGAGCUCUGUAACAGAUACAAAGAAUUUUGCCCUUAAUUUUCUUAAAACUUAACUUUCUUUCCCAAGUGAGGUGGACUGCCAUUUGGACAACACAUUCCGGUCUUACUUCCUCUCCGCACAAAAUUGGUGAAUGCCUUAGUAAAGAACUGGGCACAAAGCAUUAACCUUGUGGUUCUAUUAAUUGUUGGUUCCCUGAAAAGACCACCAAAUUAACCUAUGGGUCAAGCAAAGCCAAGUUUACAACUUAUUGCAGUGAAGGAGAAUGCCAUUUUGACAUAUUCUUAGUGUGUCUCAGAGGCGGCCUCAAGGGUGGUUAUUUAUGUACGUAUUUAUUUUUUAAAUGAUCUUUAUUUUUUCCAUUAUAGUUGGUUUACACUGUUCUGUCAAUUUCUACUGUAC